rnacentral:rRNA from 1 species
CGUCAGCUCGUGUCGUGAGAUGUUGGGUUAAGUCCCGCAACGAGCGCAACCCUUGCCUUUAGUUGCCAGCAGUUCGGCUGGGCACUCUAAAGGGACUGCCGGUGUUAAACCGGAGGAAGGUGGGGAUGACGUCAAGUCCUCAUGGCCUUUAUGACCAGGGCUACACACGUACUACAAUGGCCGAUACAAAGGGCAGCGACACUGCGAGGUGAAGCCAAUCCCGUAAAAAUCGGUCUCAGUCCGGAUUGGAGUCUGCAACUCGACUCCAUGAAGUUGGAAUCGCUAGUAAUCGUGGAUCAGCAUGCCACGGUGAAUACGUUCCCGGGCCUU